UACGUAGGGGGCUAGCGUUGUCCGGAAUCAUUGGGCGUAAAGAGCGUGUAGGCGGCCCGAUAAGUCCGCUGUGAAAGUCAAGGGCUCAACCCUUGAAUGCCGGCGGAUACUGUCGGGCUAGAGUCCGGAAGAGGCGAGUGGAAUUCCUGGUGUAGCGGUGAAAUGCGCAGAUAUCAGGAGGAACACCUACGGCGAAGGCAGCUCGCUGGGACGGUACUGACGCUGAGACGCGAAAGCGUGGGGAGCAAACAGG
rnacentral:rRNA from 1 species